UACGAAGGGGGCUAGCGUUGCUCGGAAUCACUGGGCGUAAAGGGUGCGUAGGCGGGUCUUUAAGUCAGAGGUGAAAGCCUGGAGCUCAACUCCAGAACUGCCUUUGAUACUGAGGAUCUCGAGUUCGGGAGAGGUGAGUGGAACUGCGAGUGUAGAGGUGAAAUUCGUAGAUAUUCGCAAGGACACCAGUGGCGAAGGCGGCUCACUGGCCCGAUACUGACACUGAGGAGCGAAAGCGUGGGGAGCGAACAGG
rnacentral:rRNA from 1 species